CCUACGGGCGGCAGCAGUGAGGAAUAAUGGUCAAUGGGCGCGAGCCUGAACCAGCCAAGUCGCGUGAGGGAAGACGGCCCUACGGGUUGUAAACCUCUUUUGCCGGGGAGCAACGGGCGCCACGUGUGGCGCCACUGAGAGUACCCGGAGAAAAAGCAUCGGCUAACUCCGUGCCAGCAGCCGCGGUAAUACGGAGGAUGCGAGCGUGAUCCGGAUUUAUUGGGUGUAAGGGGUGCGUAGGCGGAGCGUUAAGUCAGUGGUCAAAUUGAGGGGCUCAACCCCUUCCCGCCAUUGAAACUGGCGAUCUUGAGUGGAAGAGAAGUAUGCGGAAUGCGUGGUGUAGCGGUGAAAUGCAUAGAUAUCACGCAGAACCCCGAUUGCGAAGGCAGCAUGCCGGCUUCCUACUGACGCUGAAGCGCGAAAGCGUGGGGAUCGAACAGGAUUAGAUACCCCAGUAGUC
rnacentral:rRNA from 1 species